UAAAAAUUGUAGCCAAACAAACGUAAACUACCAAAAAACAAAACAAACCAUUUCAUUUAAUAGUAUGGGCGAUAGAAAUUUACUAUGAGCAAUAAAAAGAGUACCGCAAGGGAAAGAUGAAAUAAAAAUGAAAUAAAUAAUAAAAACAAAGAAAAGAAAAGACUAAACCCUGUACCUUUUGCAUAAUGGUCUAGUAAGUUCAACCUAACAAAAAGAAAUAAAGUUAGCCACCCCGAAACUAGGCGAGCUACUUAAGAGCAGCAUAAUCAGAGCUAACCCGUCUCUGUGGCAAAAGAGUGGGACGACUUUUAAGUAGAGGUGAAAAGCCUAACGAGCCUAGUGAUAGCUGGUUGCUUGAGAAAUGAAUAUUAGUUCAGCUUAAAGUAUUUUUAAUAAUUAAAAAUAAAUAUAGCACUUUAAAGUUAAUUAAUAGGGGUACAGCCCUAUUAAUAAAGGAUACAACCUACAUAAUGAAUAAAGAUUAUAUUAACAAAAGAAAUUAACCAUGUAGGCCUAAAAGCAGCCACCAUAAGAAAGCGUCAAAGCUCAACUUACAACCCUCCCCUUAUUAUACUAAUAAAAAAAAUCUAAAUUCACAAAACAUAUCAAGCCUAUCUACUAGUAGAUGAGUUUAUACUAGAAUGAGUAACAAGAACAAAUUCUCUACAUGCAAGCGUAAAUCAGAACGAAAAAAUCACUGAUAAUUAACAAUUUAAAAUACUCAUCAACGAGAAAAACACAUUAAAACAAUUGUUAACCCAACACAGGAGCAUUAAAAAAGAUUUAAAGAUUAAAAAGGAACUCGGCAAUCACAGAGCUCCGCCUGUUUCCCAAAAACAUCGCCUCUUGCCCCCCUAAUAUAAGAGGUCCCGCCUCCCCAGUGAUUAAUUUUAACGGCCGCGGUAUCAUGACCGUGCAAAGGUAGCGUAAUCACUUGUCUUUUAAAUAAAGACCUGUAUGAAAGGCAAAACGAAAGCUCAACUGUCUCUUUAAUAUAAUCAGU
rnacentral:rRNA from 1 species